rnacentral:tRNA from 1 species
GCCACGGUGGUCUAGCGGUCACAACACUAGCCUUGUAAGCCUGGGGUCCCGGGUUCAAUUCCCGGUGGUGCUC